rnacentral:rRNA from 1 species
UACGUAGGGUGCGAGCGUUGUCCGGAAUUAUUGGGCGUAAAGAGCUCGUAGGCGGUGUGUCGCGUCGGCCGUGAAAACCUGCAGCUUAACUGUGGGCUUGCGGUCGAUACGGGCAUCACUGGAGUUCGGCAGGGGAGACUGGAAUUCCUGGUGUAGCGGUGAAAUGCGCAGAUAUCAGGAGGAACACCGGUGGCGAAGGCGGCCCGCUGGGCAGGAAGACACCGCAAGGUGUCGGCUGACGCUGAGGCGCGAAGGCGUGGGGAGCGAACGGG